UUUCUUUUCCUUUUUCUUGUUUUUUCUCCUCCACACACGUCCACCUACCCCCAAUAUCUAUCUUCACUCUUUGUUUGACCUUUUGUCUUUCUAGUUAUCUCCAGAACAUUUCUCCCUUCUCCCUCUCUGUUUUGUUCUCUUUCUCUUACACACACACACAAAUUUCUCUCCCUCAAUCUCACACAAACAAACUCUCUUUCAAACACGAAUAGAUCACCGGCAGAGAACAAAGAUUAGAGUCCUCCCCACUUCUAAGAACAUGCAGCUUAAUCACCAUAUUGAUUGUAGUCGUUGAGAUAGAGAAGCACAAGAGAGUGAAGAUUAAAGAACGAAAGAGAAAAGGGAUGAGAGAGAAAGAAUUAUUUUUUUAUUCAA